UUACAGUGUGAAGGAUGAUAUAUAUACAUGAUUUGCUUAUUGAGUUUUUAUCCUAACGAUUGUCUAACGACUCUUUCUGAAUAGGGUAUAGGUUGAAGUGACAUUUCCUGCUUUGCAGGAAAGGAUGCUCUUUUUUACCCUGAGGUGGUCUGUGAUGAUAGGUCUGCACAAGCAACCUAGCUUGUGCAGCCUCUAAGACCAUAGUUUCUUUUCCUGUUUCUUCAACAAUUUUGUUUAUAAAACUGAGAGAUGAUGGAAAUUCCAAUAUGAGCAAGUCUUUGAUGCCAAAGAGUUGGUGAAGCUUUGGAAAUAAUCAGAAUAGUAG
rnacentral:lncRNA from 1 species